rnacentral:tRNA from 1 species
CCAGUAGCUCAGUUGGUUAGAGCAGGGGACUCAUAAUCCCUUGGUCGUAGGUUCGAGUCCUACCGGGCC